AGAACGAACGCUGGCGGCAGGCUUAACACAUGCAAGUCGAACGCCCCGCAAGGGGAGUGGCAGACGGGUGAGUAACACGUGGGAACAUACCCUUUGGUUCGGAAUAACUCAGGGAAACUUGAGCUAAUACCGGAUAAGCGCGAGAGCGGAAAGAUUUAUCGCCGAAGGAUUGGCCCGCGUCCGAUUAGCUAGUUGGUGAGGUAAUGGCUCACCAAGGCGACGAUCGGUAGCUGGUCUGAGAGGAUGAUCAGCCACACUGGGACUGAGACACGGCCCAGACUCCGUACGGGGGCAGCAGGUGGGAAUAGUUGGAACAAGUGGGACGCGAAGCCUGACUCCAGCCAUCGCCGCGUGACGUGAUGGAACGGCCCUUAGGGUUAGUAAAGCUUCGUUCGCGAGGGACGAUAAUGAACGUACGUGAUAAGACGCCCGGA
rnacentral:rRNA from 1 species